rnacentral:rRNA from 1 species
CCUACGGGCGGCAGCAGUGAGGAAUAUUGGUCAAUGGACGAGAGUCUGAACCAGCCAAGUAGCGUGAAGGAUGACUGCCCUAUGGGUUGUAGACUUCUUUUAUAUGGGAAUAAAAUGUUCCACGUGUGGGAUUUUGUAGGUACCAUAUGAAUAAGGAUCGGCUAACUCCGUGCCAGCAGCCGCGGUAAUACGGAGGAUCCGAGCGGUAUCCGGAUUUAUUGGGUGUAAAGGGAGCGUAGGUGGAUUUGUAAGUCAGUUGUGAAAGCUUGCGGCUCAACCGUAAAAUUGCAGUUGAAACUGGGAGUCUAGAGUACAGUAGAGGUGGGCGGAAUUCGUGGUGUAGCGGUGAAAUGCUUAGAUAUCACGAAGAACUCCGAUUGCGAAGGUAGCCCACUGGACUGCAACUGACACUGAGGCUCGAAAGUGUGGGUAUCAAACAGGAUUAGAUACCCCGGUAGUC